AGAUUGAACGCUGGCGGCAGGCCUAACACAUGCAAGUCGAGCGGCAGCACGGGUACUUGUACCUGGUGGCGAGCGGCGGACGGGUGAGUAAUGCCUAGGAAUCUGCCUGAUAGUGGGGGAUAACGCUCGGAAACGGACGCUAAUACCGCAUACGUCCUACGGGAGAAAGCAGGGGACCUUCGGGCCUUGCGCUAUCAGAUGAGCCUAGGUCGGAUUAGCUAGGUUGGUGGGUAAUGGCUCACCAAGGCGACGAUCCGUAACUGGUCUGAGAGGAUGAUCAGUCACACUGGAACUGAGACACGGUCCAGACUCCUACGGGAGCAGCAGUGGGAAUUUGGACAA
rnacentral:rRNA from 1 species